rnacentral:rRNA from 1 species
GACGAACGCUGGCGGCGUGCUUAACACAUGCAAGUCGAACGGAAAGGCCCUUCGGGGUACUCGAGUGGCGAACGGGUGAGUAACACGUGGGUGAUCUGCCCUGCACUUUGGGAUAAGCCUGGGAAACUGGGUCUAAUACCGAAUAGGACCACGCGCUUCAUGGUGUGUGGUGGAAAGCUUUUGCGGUGUGGGAUGGGCCCGCGGCCUAUCAGCUUGUUGGUGGGGUAAUGGCCUACCAAGGCGACGACGGGUAGCCGGCCUGAGAGGGUGACCGGCCACACUGGGACUGAGAUACGGCCCAGACUCCUACGGGAGGCAGCAGUGGGGAAUAUUGCACAAUGGGCGCAAGCCUGAUGCAGCGACGCCGCGUGAGGGAUGACGGCCUUCGGGUUGUAAACCUCUUUCAAUAGGGACGAAGCGCAAGUGACGGUACCUAUAGAAGAAGCACCGGCCAACUACGUGCCAGCAGCCGCGGUAAUACGUAGGGUGCGAGCGUUGUCCGGAAUUACUGGGCGUAAAGAGCUCGUAGGUGGUUUGCCGCGUUGUUCGUGAAAACUCACAGCUUAACUGUGGGCGUGCGGGCGAUACGGGCAGACUAGAGUACUGCAGGGGAGACUGGAAUUCCUGGUGUAGCGGUGGAAUGCGCAGAUAUCAGGAGGAACACCGGUGGCGAAGGCGGGUCUCUGGGCAGUAACUGACGCUGAGGAGCGAAAGCGUGGGGAGCGAACAGGAUUAGAUACCCUGGUAGUCCACGCCGUAAACGGUGGGUACUAGGUGUGGGUUCCUUCCUUGGGAUCCGUGCCGUAGCUAACGCAUUAAGUACCCCGCCUGGGGAGUACGGCCGCAAGGCUAAAACUCAAAGGAAUUGACGGGGGCCCGCACAAGCGGCGGAGCAUGUGGAUUAAUUCGAUGCAACGCGAAGAACCUUACCUGGGUUUGACAUGCACAGGACGCCGGCAGAGAUGUCGGUUCCCUUGUGGCCUGUGUGCAGGUGGUGCAUGGCUGUCGUCAGCUCGUGUCGUGAGAUGUUGGGUUAAGUCCCGCAACGAGCGCAACCCUUGUCCUAUGUUGCCAGCGGGUUAUGCCGGGGACUCGUAGGAGACUGCCGGGGUCAACUCGGAGGAAGGUGGGGAUGACGUCAAGUUAUCAUGCCCCUUAUGUCCAGGGCUUCACACAUGCUACAAUGGCCGGUACAAAGGGCUGCGAUGCCGUGAGGUGGAGCGAAUCCUUUCAAAGCCGGUCUCAGUUCGGAUCGGGGUCUGCAACUCGACCCCGUGAAGUCGGAGUCGCUAGUAAUCGCAGAUCAGCAACGCUGCGGUGAAUACGUUCCCGGGCCU